rnacentral:rRNA from 1 species
UACAGAGGUCUCAAGCGUUGUCCGGAAUCAUUGGGCGUAAAGCGCGCGUAGGUGGCUCUAUAAGUCCGUUGUGAAAGUCAAAGGCUCAACCUUUGAAAGCCGAUGGAUACUGUAGAGCUAGAGUCCGGAAGAGGCGAGUGGAAUUCCUGGUGUAGCGGUGAAAUGCGCAGAUAUCAGGAAGAACACCCGUGGCGAAGGCGGCUCUCUGGUACGUGACUGACGCUGAGACGCGAAAGCGUGGGGAGCGAACAGG